UGAUUAGGUUGUUCAUCUUAAUCUUGAAGGACUAUUGGUGCAUGUGAGUUUGGUCGAUGAGAAUAUUUCUAGUUUAAAGAGCUUCCUCUUCU